AGUGAACGCUGGCGGUAGGCCUAACACAUGCCAGUCGAACGGCAGCACAGUAAGAGCUUGCUCCUACGGGUGGCGAGUGGCGGACGGGUGAGGAAUACAUCGGAAUCUACUUUUUCGUGGGGGAUAACGUAGGGAAACUUACGCUAAUACCGCAUACGACCUACGGGUGAAAGCAGGGGAUCUUCGGACCUUGCGCGAUUGAAUGAGCCGAUGUCGGGUUAGCUAGUUGGCGGGGUAAAGGCCCACCAAGGCGACGAUCCGUAGCUGGUCUGAGAGGAUGAUCAGCCACACUGGAACUGAGACACGGUCCAGACUCCUACGGGAGGCAGCAGUGGGGAAUAUUGGACAAUGGGCGCAAGCCUGAUCCAGCCAUACCGCGUGGGUGAAGAAGGCCUUCGGGUUGUAAAGCCCUUUUGUUGGGAAAGAAAAGCAGCAGGUUAAUACCCCGCUGUUCUGACGGUACCCAAAGAAUAAGCACCGGCUAACUUCGUG
rnacentral:rRNA from 1 species